CCUUUGACGUUAGCGGCGGACGGGUGAGUAACACGUGGGUAACCUACCUAUAAGACUGGGGAUAACUUCGGGAAACCGGAGCUAAUACCGGAUAAUAUUUCGAACCGCAUGGUUCGAUAGUGAAAGGUGGUUUUGCUAUCACUUAUAGAUGGACCCGCGCCGUAUUAGCUAGUUGGUAAGGUAACGGCUUACCAAGGCGACGAUGCGUAGCCGACCUGAGAGGGUGAUCGGCCACACUGGAACUGAGACACGGUCCAGACUCCUACGGGAGGCAGCAGCC
rnacentral:rRNA from 1 species